AACGCACCUUGCGCUCCUGGGCUAUUCCUAGGAGCAUGCCUGUUUGAGUGUCGUGAAAUCAUCAACCCCAGUUGGAUUUGAAAUUUGACUGGUGGCUUGGACUUGGGGGUUUGCUGGCCGUUUUGAUUCGGUCUGGCUCCCCUUGAAUGUAUUAGCUUGGACUUGUUCCUAAGGCUUCAUGGCGUGAUAAUUAUCUAUGCCGUUAGAUGUCUGCUUUAAAUAAUGGGGAUGCGCUGCUUCUAAUCGUCCACUUAGGACAAUUAUUGACUAUUUGACCUCAAAUCAGGUAGGACUACCCGCUGAACUUAA
rnacentral:rRNA from 1 species